AUGCGUGAUUAGGGGUGAAAGGCCAAUCAAAUUCAGAUAUAGCUGGUUUUCUGCGAAAAUUAUUUAAGUAAUGUAUUAAAAAUUAUAUAAAUAUGGGUGUAGAGCACUUGCUGGAUGAGGGGGGAAUUCAUGUAAUUCUACUGAUUUCAAUUAAACUUCGAAUACAUAUUUUAUGAAAUUUUUAGUAAGCAGAUUUAGAGUGCUAAGAUUCUAAAUCGAAAGGGAAAAAGCCCUGAUUUUCAGUUAAGGUUUUUAAAUAUAAUUCAUGGACUAAGUUUGAAUCUGUAAGGAGAGCCAAGAGGUAGGCUUAGAAUCAGCCAUCCUUUAAAGAAAGCGUCAUUGCUCAAUGGAAUAGCAUGAUUUAGACAGAAAUGUAAAGAAACUGUAGUUAUAUACCGAAACUAAAAAAUAAAAGGUAUUAUUAAAGAAGAGUUUUUAAUAAUAUUAUGUUGGUAGCAGAACGGGAAAUAGUAAAAUUAUGAAGAAAAAUCGUUAGAUUUUUUAUAGAAUUUUUUUUGAGAAUGUUGACAUGAGUAACGAAUUAAUAAUGAAACUUUGUAAAAAUAUCAUUAUCGCCGAAAAUUCAAGGUUUUCAAUGUAUAAAGGUUAACUUCAUUGAGUAAUACGGUCUCUAAGUUAAAAAUUGAAAAAUUUUGAUGAUGAGUGAUUUUGUUAAUAUUCAGAUUAUUAGUUAAGUGAAGAUUUUCAUGGCGUUGUUGUUUGAUUUAAAUGGCUUAUUAAACGAAAUAACCAUAUUAUCCAAGAAAUAUCUGACUAAAUGUAACCGUACUUAAACCGACACAGGUGAAUAGGUAGAGAAUACUAAGGCGAUUGGAAGAACAAUUUUGAAGGAACUCGGCAAAAUGAUUCCGUAACUUCGGGAGAAGGGAUACUCACAUUAAAAGUUUAUUUUGCUAAAAAAUUUAAAAUGUGAAUGUUUAGUGUAACAGAAUAGGGGGUAGCGACUGUUUAAUAAAAACACAGGACUUUGCAAAAUAUUAUUAUGAUGUAUAAGGUCUGACGCCUGCCCGGUGAUGAGUAAUGAAUGAAAAGAGUGUUAUAAUGCUUGGAUUAUAAGUCUCAUUAAACGGCGGCUGUAACCCUGACGGUCCUAAGGUAGCGAAAUUCCUUGUCAAUUAAGUAUUGACCCGCAUGAAUGGCGUAACGACUUCCCCACUGUCUCCAAAAUUGAUCCAGUGAAAUUGCAUUUUACGUGAAGAUGCGUAAUAUUUAUGGCGGGACGGAAAGACCCUGUGCACCUUUACUAUAACUUUACAUUGAAGAAAGUGAAUUCGUAUAAAGAAUAAUUCGGAGUUUAUGAUCCAUUAAUGUUUCAUUCUUUGGGGAGACGUUAGUGAGAUAUGAAUUAUGAAAUUAUUAUUUUUCUAAUUUUUAAGAAAGACAGUGUAUGGUGGGUAGUUUGGCUGGGGCGGCUGCCUCCGAAAGAGUAACAGAGGCGCACAAAGGUAAUUUCAAUCUAGUUUUUACUAGAAAAAGGAGUGUAAUGGCAUAAAAUUGCUUAACUGUUAGAUUUACAUAUCGAACAGAGACAUAGUGUCGGUCAUAGUGAUCCGGUAACGCAGAAUGGAAUGGUUAUCGAUUAACGGAUAAAAGGUACGCCAGGGAUAACAGGCUAAUUGUCCUUGAGAGGCCAUAUCGACGGGAUAGUUUGGCACCUCGAUGUCGACUUAUCAGAUCCUGGUGUAGUAGGGGAUACCAAGGGUUCGGCUGUUCGCCGAUUAAAGUGGUACAUGAGUUGGGUUUAGAACGUCGUGAGACAGUUUGGUCCCUAUCUACCAUAAAUGAAAGAAAAUUGUUUAAAGCGGACUUUCGUACGAGAGGAGCAAGAAGGGAAGACCUAUUGUGAAUUUGUUGUUUUUACCAAAAGCAUGGCAAAGAAGCUACGUCUUAUUUUUAGAACUACUGAAUACAUUUUAAGUGGGAAAAUUAUUUCAAAAGCAUUUU
rnacentral:rRNA from 1 species